rnacentral:rRNA from 1 species
UUUUACCUACGGGAGGCAGCAGUGGGGAAUAUUGCGCAAUGGGGGCAACCCUGACGCAGCAACGCCGCGUGAUUGAAGAAGGCCUUCGGGUUGUAAAGAUCUUUAAUUGGGGACGAAACAAAUGACGGUACCCAAAGAAUAAGCUCCGGCUAACUACGUGCCAGCAGCCGCGGUAAUACGUAGGGAGCAAGCGUUAUCCGGAUUUACUGGGUGUAAAGGGCGAGUAGGCGGGCUGGCAAGUUGGGAGUGAAAUCCCGGGGCUUAACCCCGGAACUGCUUUCAAAACUGCUGGUCUUGAGUGAUGG